rnacentral:rRNA from 1 species
CAAUAGCGUAUAUUAAAGUUGUUGCAGUUAAAAAGCUCGUAGUUGGAUUUGUGGCUUUCGCGUGCGGCCCGGCAUUCGUGCCGGUGUUUGCUAGCGUCGCCAUCCUUGGGUGGAAUCUGUGUGGCAUUAGGUUGUCGUGCAGGGGAUGCCCAUCGUUUACUGUGAAAAAAUUAGAGUGUUCAAAGCAGGCUUAUGCCGUUGAAUAUAUUAGCAUGGAAUAAUAAGAUAGGACCUUGGUACUAUUUUGUUGGUUUGCGCACCAAGGUAAUGAUUAAUAGGGACAGUUGGGGGUAUUCGUAUUCCAUUGUCAGAGGUGAAAUUCUUGGAUUUUUGGAAGACGAACUACUGCGAAAGCAUUUACCAAGGAUGUUUUCAUUAA